GCCUUCUCCCCGCUUCCGCCCUGCGCGCUAACCCAAGACGGGAGCUCGAGAGCUUGAUCUUGCGGGAGUUUACAGACUGCCCUCUUCCCUUUUUGCCUCGAAGACCACAACUCCCAAGAGGUAAUGCGUUGGCCCGGGACUACAUCCCCCGACAUGCACCGCCGGCGGGUCCGCGAGUUCCCACCUUCACCCCAGCUGGACUAUUAGCGGGGGCCUUAGCGCUCUUGUGGUUUGUUUCGGCAGUAUCUGAACGUCAGCUUUUGGCACUUCUGGUCGCUCUGAGCCUCUGACUCACAUUCCUGGAGCCAGGUGCUUUCCAGGCCUCAUGGAGGUGGAGGAGCUGAGGAAGCUCGAGAAGAUGGAUAGAAGUGGGAAAUGGAGCUAGCGGAGGGGAGAGGGAAAUGGCUGGAAUAUUCGUCAAUCUGUGGGGCUUUACUGGAGAUUUGCAGGACUUUAGAGGAAGGGGGCAUUGAAUUUCAUAACCUAAGCCGUAUCGUGGUUUACCAGAAAGUUUUGACCCGUGAUUCCGGUUUUAAAGGCUGAGUAGGGCCGGGCGCGGUGGUUCACGCCAGUAAUCCCAGCAGUUUAGGAGGCCAAGGCAGGCGGAUCACCUGAGGUCAGGAGUUGGAGAUAAACCUGGCCAACAUGGUGAAACCUCGUCUUUAGUAAAAAAUACAAAAAUUAGCCAGGUUUGGUGGCACAUGCCUGUAAUCCCAGCUACUCGAAAGGCUGAGGCAGGAGAAUCGCAUGAACCCAGGAGGAGAAGGUUGCAGCGAACCGAGAGCUUGCCACUGUACUCCAGCCUGGGCGACAGAGCAAGACUGUGUCAAAACAACACCCCAAGCUAGCUGAGUAGGGUUUCUUGGGCGAAGUGGAAGACAUUAUAAGCAAAUAGGGUAGUAUGGGCAUGGAAACGAACUACGUGAUUAAAGAUUAGUAUUAUCUGGCGAGGGAGGAAAAGUGCCAGAGCAAGUGCCGCAACUGGAGGGUUACAUUUAGUUCAGGAUAUGAAGAGGCUUAAGAUCAUAUAAGGCCUGCACGGUGGCUCACACCUGUAAUCCCAGCACUUUGGGAAGCCAAGGUCGGGGAGGAUCCCUUGAGCUCAGGAGUUGGAGACCAGCCUGGGCAACACAGUGGGACCCCAUAUCUCA